AUUGAACGCUAGCGGCAGGCCUAACACAUGCAAGUCGAGCGAGCGGCGGACGGGUGAGUCAUGUAUGGGAAACUGCCUGAUGGAGGGGGAUAACUACUGGAAACGGUAGCUAAUACAGCAUACACUGCGAUGUGCCCAGAUGGGAUUAGCUAGUAGGGUGGGUAAAGGCUCACCUAGGCGACGAUCCCUAGCUGGUCUGUGAGGAUGACCAGCCAAACUGGAACGGAGACACGGUCCAGACUCCUACGGGAGGCAGCAGUGGGGAAUAUUGAACAAUGGGGGAAAGCCUGAUGCAGCCAUGCCGCGUGUGUGAAGAAGGCCUUCGGGUUGUAAAGCACUUUCAGCGGGGAGGCGUUACCCGCAGAAGAAGCACCGGCUAACUCCGUGCCAGCAGCCGCGGUAAUAC
rnacentral:rRNA from 1 species